rnacentral:tRNA from 1 species
GGGGUUGUGGCUCAGUGGUAGAGCGCUCGCCUAGCAUGUGCGAGGCCCUGGGUUUGAUCCUCAGCACCACA